AAUAAUGUGGUUGUUAUUCGCCAUUGAUAAGAAUCGAGUCUAAGACCUCUCACUUACAAAUGAAGAUGAAUAUCACUAAACCGUCGUACUAAGUGACAUAAUAUGAAUAUUGAUCUCUACAAGAAUAUAAUACCUCAACUGAACUCUCUGUACAACAAAAACAUAUCAAUGGAGACGGGGAUUCAAUCAAAUAUUUGGCUUUAAAGAAGACAACUUAUUAGUUGCCGUGUUAUGUUACUUUGACGAACCUCUUGUCUGGUCUUCAAUAAGACGUAGUCUCCAGCUUCUAUGUGUGAAUGUAAAACUUGAUGGUUAUGUUGGCGUGAG
rnacentral:lncRNA from 1 species